AUGAAGCUGAACGUGGAAGGGGCUUGGUGGGUGGUAACAAAAUAUGUUGGGCACCACAACCAUGACAUGAUAAAGAAAUUUGACCUUGUGAAGUUUCUGAGCGCUCACCGUGGGUUCACCCCGCAAGAGGAACAGUUCGUGAAGUUGCUGCAUGACUGCAACCUCCAGCCUGGGAGAAUGGUGCACAUCCUCUCAAUGAUUCACAGCAAAAGCGGCAAGCUAAGCAGCCUGCCAUACCUGCCUUCAGAUGUGGUAAACCUGGUAGCAAAGUAUCGCAGGGAAAGUCAAUUAUCAGACAUGGACGACACAAUUGCAUACUUCAUGCAGAAGGAGAAAGAAGAUCCAGAUUUCUUCUACAGAAUAAAACUGGAUGAUGAGGACCGCGUUGUGAACAUGUACUGGAUAGAUGGUGCAGCGCGCAGGUCUUACAGGCACUUUCGUGACUGUGUGUCGUUCGAUGCGACGUAUCUAACUAACAUGUACAAGAUGUCGUGCUGUCCAUUCAUUGGGAUAAACAACCACAAUACGAGCAGCUAUGUUUGGCUGUUCAAAACAUUUCUGGAAUGCAUGGGCGGCCUCGCGCCAAUGAACAUCAUAACAGACCAGGAUUUCGGGAUGCAUGGAGGCAUUGAGGACGUGUUCCCAACAACCAUACACAGGCACUGCAGGUGGCAUGUCAUAAAAAAGGCGGAAGAGACAUUAGGCCCCUUCUUUGCUACUACCCAACGCAGUGAGGGGUUUAACGCUGUCAUAAAAAGAAGAGACGGGAUGCUCUGCUGCCACGUACUAAGGGUCAUGGACUUCAGUGCUAUAAAAAAAGUGCCAGAUAGGUACAUACUUGAGCGAUGGACUUGGAAUGCUGAUGAAGCACUUUGCCCCCAUGAUGCCCAGGAAGUGCUCGCGGUGCAUGAAGAUGGUCCGAACACAAGUAUGGACACAGUGAGGCAUAUGGUAAUGACAAGAAGAUUUGAACACAUAGCAGACGACGCAUGCAAGCAUGACGAAAUGACCAGGGCAGUAGAGAGGCACACGAAAGCAUUGGAAAUGGAACUAGAGACAAUAAAGAAGAGGAUGGCAGAGGAAGCUCUACAUCGAUUCCCCAAAAAGACCAAAACUGCUACAACUACAUCAACUGGGCCGUCAACAGAUAACUCUGAGGUAGGCUCUGGCGCGUCAAACACGCACACACACGUCCAGAACCCUCCCAGGACAGUCACAAAAGGGCGACCGAAGCAGAUUAGGUACAAAUCAGCACUUGAGAUCCAGGCCAAACACAAAAAUAGUGCAAAGAAAGCAGUUACAGAAGAGUAG
rnacentral:rRNA from 1 species